CGGGUACCGUCAAGGCACAGGGGUAUUAACCCUGUGUUUUUCUUUCCCGAUAAAAGUGCUUUACAACCCGCAGGCCUUCUUCACACACGCGGCAUUGCUGCAUCAAGCUUGCGCUCAUUGUGCAAUAUUCCCC
rnacentral:rRNA from 1 species